rnacentral:lncRNA from 1 species
AGUGAGAGACCUUAGCUUCCCUAUCUCUUUUGGGAUAGAGCCUACGAGUAAAUUUUGAUAGAGAUAGAGAAUGGUUAGGUUGCCCAAGCUCCCUAUGGUAGAGGGUAUUGAUCCCGUGAGAUUGUUGGCAUACAAAUCCAAUUCCUCAAGAGAGCUGAGCAUUCCAAUUUCUUGCGGAAUGGAACCACUUAGUUGGUUCGAAAACAUGUAGCAGAUUCUAAGGUUUGUGAGCAACCCUAUCUCGCGGGGAAUGGUCCCAGUGAGGUGAUUUUCCGACAAGUCAAGUUCAGUGAGAGACCUUAGCUUCCCUAUCUCGCGGGGAAUGGUCCCAGUGAGGUGAUUUUCCGACAAUUCAAGUCCAGUGAGAGACCUCAGCUUCCCUAUCUCUUUCGGGAUAGAGCCUACGAGUAAAUUUUGAUCGAGAUAGAGAAUGGUUAGGUUGCCCAAGCUCCCUAUGGUAGAGGGUAUUGAUCCCGCGAGAUUGUUGGCAGACAAAGUCAAAUCCUCAAGAGAGCUGAGCAUUCCAAUUUCUUGGGGAAUGGAACCACUGAGUUGGUUCGAAAACAUGUGGCAGAUUCUAAGGUUUGUGAGCAACCCUAUCUCACGGGGAAUGGUCCCAGUGAGGUGAUUUUCUGACAAUUCAAGUUCAGUGAGAGACCUUAGCUUCCCUAUCUCUUUUGGGAUAGAGCCUACGAGUAAAUUUUGACCGAGAGAGAGACUGGUUAGGUUGCCUAAGCUCCCUAUGGUAGACGGUAUUGAUCCCGUGAGAUUGUUGGUUGACAAAUCCAAUUCCACAAGAGAGCUGAGCAUUCCAAUUUCUUGCGGAAUGGAACCACUGAGUUGGUUCGAAAACAUGUUGCAGCCUCUAAGGUUUGUGAGCAACCCUAUCUCGCGGGGAAUGGUCCCAGUGAGGUGAUUUAUCGACAAGGCAAGUCCAAUGAGAGACCUUAGCUUCCCUAUCUCUUUUGGGAUAGAGCCUACGAGUAAAUUUUGAUAGAGAUAGAGAAUGGUUAGGUUGCCCAAGCUCCCUAUGGUAGACGGUAUUGAUCCCGUGAGAUUGUUGGCAUACAAAGCCAAUUCCUCAAGAGAGCUGAGCAUUCCAAUUUCUCGC